rnacentral:rRNA from 1 species
UAACAAGGAUUCCCCUAGUAACUGCGAGUGAAGCGGGAAAAGCUCAAAUUUAAAAUCUGGCGGUUUUGUCGCCCGAGUUGUAAUCUGGAGAAGCGUUUUCCGUGCCGGACCGUGUACAAGUUUCUUGGAACAGAGCGUCAUAGAGGGUGAGAAUCCCGUCCAUGACACGGACUCCCGGUGCUUUGUGAUACGCUCUCGAAGAGUCGAGUUGUUUGGGAAUGCAGCUCAAAAUGGGUGGUAAGCUCCAUCUAAAGCUAAAUAUUGGCGAGAGACCGAUAGCGAACAAGUACCGUGAGGGAAAGAUGAAAAGCACUUUGGAAAGAGAGUUAAACAGUACGUGAAAUUGUUGAAAGGGAAACGCUUGAAGUCANGUCGCGUCUUAUUUGACUCAGCCUUGCUUCGGCUUGGUGUAUUUCAAGUAGGAUGGGUCAACAUCGAUUUUGGCCGGUGGACAAGGGGUUAAGGAAUGUGGCACUCUUUGGAGUGUGUUAUAGCCUUUUCUCAUAUACAUCGGUUGGGAUUGAGGCCCGCAGCGCGCCCUUGUGGCCGGAGGUUCGCCUCACGUAACGCGCUUAGGAUGUUGGCAUAAUGGCUUUAAGCGACCCGUCUUGAAACACGGACCAAGGAGUCUAACAUGCUCGCGAGUGUUAGGGUGGAAAACCCUUGCGCGUAAUGAAAGUGAAAGUUGAGAACCUCCGCAAGGGGGUGCAUCGACGCCCGGCCCUGAAGUUUACUGACGGUGCUGCGGUAGAGCGCGUAUGUUGGGACCCGAAAGAUGGUGAACUAUGCCUGAAUAGGGCGAAGCCAGAGGAAACUCUGGUGGAGGCUCGUAGCGAUUCUGACGUGCAAAUCGAUCGUCAAAUUUGGG